AUAACAAAUAUUCUCUGCGUCUCUUUCUCUCCUUCUUCGUAUUAAUUGUGUGUCUGCAAAACUUGCAUUUUUUUUCAACUCUCUCAAAGCCAACAUGAGUCUCAUCUUCAAGAAACCAAACCAAGUACUAGAGCUAAUUCACCUGAAAAUCCACCUGGGACUGGGUAUGCACUGAUGAAACAUAGCUCUGUGUUGUGUGUCUGUGGAGAUAAGGGCUGUUUGGUGCUAAUUAAAUCAUCUAAUCAAGAAGGGAACCAACUAAGAGUUUAACAAUCUGCAAAGUGAAUGUUGGGUUUGCUGCUGAAAGAGAGGAACUGGGUGAAGUUUGAAAAAGAGGAACUGGCAGUGGUUCUUUAAAAUUAGGUAGGAUAUUAAGCAAAUCAAACUUGUAUUGAGGAAACACCUUCUAAGGUUAUUAUGUAGACUAAAAUGGCAAAUCAUGUAUUGUUGUAGAUUUUUUCAACCGGGUACAUGUGCCCCGACCCACCAAUUGAGUCAGUCUUUGCCUGGAGGUCAGAUAUUACUACCACAUGCCGACAACCAACCAAGCUACAGAAAACAGUCAUGGCAGGUGUCAUGAGCGAGCUCAUGUCGGAUUAUAAAGCGCAAGUAACAUUAUUUCCUUUAAACAUGAAAUACUUACAAGACAGUGUAUUUGGCAAGUUAGUCCAAUCAUGUGGGAUCAUCUUCACUUCUGAGGCCUUGAUCAAGUCAAACAGUGCUUGAUUGACCUGAAUUUUGAAAUGUUUUAGUUCAUUUUCAAUGUAAGUACAGAAUGCAAACUCUGCAGCAAGUGUGCUAUAUAUAUAGUUCACAUUGUACCUCUUCAGGCCGCUCAUGACUCACCAAAUGACCUCCAUGAAGAUCUACCAGCCGAGCCAUUGGAUAAAACCUCUCGGCAAGUUUUCUUGCAUAAUAUAGCUGCGCAAUUAUAUCAUCCCUGUAUGUGUAGCAAUCUCAAGUUAAAAUUAUGAAGUAGAUCUAAUGUGUCUGUGACUCUGUGUGAAGCAUUUUCAUGCAUAAUUUGCCUAAUCUGUGCACGAUUGAGUUUCAAGUUUCAUUUAUACAGCACUACAUUAAUGUCUU